AUUGAACGCUGGCGGCAGGCCUAACACAUGCAAGUCGAGCGGAGCGGCGGACGGGUGAGUAAUGCCUAGGAAUCUGCCUGGUAGUGGGGGAUAACGUCCGGAAACGGGCGCUAAUACCGCAUACUAUCAGAUGAGCCUAGGGCGGAUUAGCUAGUUGGUGGGGUAAAGGCCUACCAAGGCGACGAUCCCUAACUGGUCUGAGAGGAUGAUCAGUCACACUGGAAAUGAGAAAAGGUUCAGGAUCCUACGGGAGGCAGCAGUGGGGAAAAUUGGGCAAUGGGCGAAAGCCUUAUUCCGCCAUGCCGCGUGUGUUGAGAAGGGUCUCGGAUUGUAAAGGACUUUAAGUUGGGAGGCGUUACCAACAGAAUAAGCACCGGCUAACCUCGUGCCAGCAGCCGGGGUAAUUC
rnacentral:rRNA from 1 species